UACUACAGUUGCUUCAAGUGCGGCUUAUGGGGUUCAAUACUGGAGAUUACACUCAAAAAGGAUAAAGUUUUAAUUGUGAAAGCAUAAGGAUUGCAGUUUUUUGUUAAGAGAUUAGAUUCUUUGUUAUUUGGUUAGAAGAAAUGAAUAAAAUGUAGACUCAAAUUAUUGCAAAGAGCAAAAUAUAUGACACAGCAGAUGCUGAGUGAUAUAAGAAGAAAACAAAACUAGACGGUAGGAGAAAUCUCUGUUUCAUUUGGCAAUUCCAUUUCAAUUUGUUCCCAAAUUUCUGCAUUUCUGCGGAAUCUCUUCUUGAGAAGUUGUAUAAUUUGACCGGGCUCGUCAAGCUUGUUCGUUGAGGCCAGUCCACGAACGAGCGUACUCAUGGUCGUAACGUUGGGGAACCAACCAUUUGUUAUUUUCAAGUAGAAAAACCACAUUAUUAUAUAAGCACUCAACAUUCUCGUUUUUCCUCUGUUUCAUGCAAUUUUGGCAAAUAUUUCUUCUGACUUUCAAAAAGGCAUCAUUUCCGUAAUUUCUACUUUGCUUGUUCUUAUUAUAACUAAUUUUCGCUGACAAGAAUUAUGUUCGAACCUUGUAACUUUGUGGCAGUUCAUGCGACCACGCUCCCGCGACAAGAAGCUUCAAGAAGAAUGGGCUGUUCCUUUGAAGAUAUUUAUGAGAAAUUGGGAAACUUAGAAGCAGUCCAUGGUCUGAACUAGAUCCAAAAUCAUUAAUGAGAAUCUUAGUGGUAUAAACUUGAAAGGUUUUCUCACCAUCAACAGCCAACCUGCUGUUAACGGAGCUAACUCUGAUUCACCAACUGUUGAUAAUUCAGCCUACCGUUGUGGAUCCUGCAAGCUUCAUGGUAUGGAAGGAUGAGUCAUUUGAAGUCUGGUCGAGAGUAUGGGCUAACCUUUACCCUGAAGCAGAGCAGACCCAUAAUCGAGGAGGCGAAGAAGAACAGGUAGGUAUUACUUGGUCAGUUUGGUGGACAACGAUUACGUCCACGCUGAUCUGUUUGCUGUUUUCAAAAGCAUUUGAAAUGAUUUCAUGAAUGUUUGCUUUUCGAUGUAAUUCAGCAUUCUUGCCCAUGUUCAGGCUGCUUCUAUUCUAUGUACUAAAUCUCGGAUUUUGGCUUUUCCCAACUCAUCAUGUAACCUUAAAUAAUUUUUUGGUAAUUUUCAAAUGUUACACGUA